rnacentral:rRNA from 1 species
CAGCAGUCGCCGCGGUAAUCCGGAGGGUGCAAGCGUUAAUCGGAAUUACUGGGCGUAAAGCGUGCGUAGGCGGUUCGUUAAGUCUGUUGUGAAAGCCCCGGGCUCAACCUGGGAAUGGCAAUGGAUACUGGCGAGCUAGAGUGUGUCAGAGGAUGGUGGAAUUCCCGGUGUAGCGGUGAAAUGCGUAGAGAUCGGGAGGAACAUCAGUGGCGAAGGCGGCCAUCUGGGACAACACUGACGCUGAGGCACGAAAGCGUGGGGAGCAAACAGGAUUAGAUACCCCUGUAGUCCCUGUCUCUUAUAC